GCUUUGGUAGCUCAGUUGGUAGAGCAGUAGACUCUUAAUCUAUGGGUCCAGGGUUCGAGUCCCUGCCGGAGCA
rnacentral:tRNA from 2 species